CCUCUCUCUCAAGUUCAACAAACACCAUGGUCCUUGUCGUCUUGAUCCUCUGUCUCCUCCCCUUGCUGAGCAUGAUCAUGAUGAUGAAGAGGAAGCACGACUCCAGCUGCUACAUGCUCAACUACGAGUGCUACCAACCCUCCCAAAGCCUCAAACUCGACACCGAGGCCUCAUGCAGAGUCGUCCUCCGCAACAAGAAUCUGGGAUGGGAGCAGUACAAGUUCCUCCUCAAAACCAUCGUCAGCUCCGGCCUCGGCGAGGAGACCUACAGCCCCGCCAACGUCGUCGCCGCCAAAGAAGCCGACCCCUCCCUCCCCGACUCCCUCCAAGAACUCGACCACAUCUUCUUCCAAACCUUAGACAACCUCUUCGCCAAAUCCCGAGUUUCACCGCAACACAUCGACAUCCUCGUCGUCAACGUCUCCUUGCUCUCCCCCUCUCCCUCUCUCUCGUCUCGGAUCAUCAACCGCUACAACAUGCGCCCCGACAUCAAGGCCUUCAACCUCGCCGGCAUGGGAUGCAGCGCCAGCCUCAUCGCCGUCGACCUCGUCCGCCAGCUCUUCAAGACUUACAAGAAUAAACUAGCCAUCGUCGUCAGCACCGAGUCUCUCGGCCCCAACUGGUAUGCUGGCGUAGACAAAUCGAUGAUGCUGUCGAACUGCCUAUUCCGAUCAGGCGGAUGCUCCAUGCUUCUGACGAACCGGUCGGAAUUCAGAGAUGCGGCCAUUUUCAAACUCAAGCAUUUGGUAAGAACGCAUUUCGGAUCCAACGACGAAGCCUACAACUGCUGUAUACAGGUUGAAGAUAAUGAAGGCUACGCUGGUUUUCGACUCACCAAGAAGCUCACCAAAGCAGCCGCGCAGGUCUUUGUUAUUAAUCUCAAAGUUCUGUUGCCUAAGAUCUUGCCGCUGUCCGAGAUCAUCAGGUUCGUUUUUAUUUAUCUCAUCCGGUGGGCUAAGGGGAACAAGAUUAAGCUCACUGAAGCCCUCAUCACCGGCGACCUCAAUCUCAGGUCCGGCGUUGAUCAUUUCUGCAUACACCCUGGGGGCAGGGCAGUGAUCGACGGAGUCGGGAAGAGCCUCGGGCUUAGCGAGUACGAGCUGGAGCCGGCACGGAUGGCGCUCCACCGGUUCGGUAACACCUCGGCGGGCGGGCUGUGGUACGUGCUGGGUUACAUGGAGGCGAAGAAGCGGCUGAAGAAGGGCGAUCGGGUGAUGAUGAUCAGUUUUGGGGCUGGUUUCAAGUGCAACAAUUGUUUAUGGGAAGUCCUCAGAGACUUGGACGAUACGAAUGUGUGGGAAGAUUGUAUCCAUCGAUACCCUCCCAUCAGCCUCGCCAAUCCUUUCGCUGAGAAAUAUGGAUGGAUCAACGAUGAGUAUGUCAGCUUCAUUCGGAUUGAGGAUUGUGAUUUCUCCACCACCGCUUGAUUUUAUUAAUUACUCAGUAGUUUGGUUGAGAUUCGGUUGCAUUUUAGACCUUAUUAGUUAAAGUGAAAUGCAUGUAUUAUUAAAUAUACUUCAGAAUAAGGGGUCAUCUACUACCAAAUAUGGGAUAAGGAGUACUAUAUACCAUAUCAAUAUUAUAUUUUGUAUGAUGUCUUAAAAUAUCUAUAAUAUAUACUCCCUCGUUCCACGAAAGAACUUCCUAUCUUUCCUUUUUGGGACGUCCAUAAAAGAACUUCCUACCUAUUUUUAGACUAUACCCCACCACUUAUAAUCCUCUUACUUUUCACUUUUCACAACUCCCAAUAUUAAUUAUAACACAUUUUCACCACUCUCAAUACACUCAGUGGCGGAUCCAGGGGGCUGGGGGGGCUAGAGCCCCCCCCAAUUUUUAGAAUUUUUUUUUUUAAAUUUUAUAAUAUAUAUAAAUAAAUAAUAAUAAUAAAACUAAAUACUCCUAAAAGGCUAAAACGAGGGAGGACUGUAGUAUGUAUAGAUUUGAAUUAAAAGUUGAAACCCUUCUUCCUUGCGCCGCUUCCAGAGUUCCAGACUCAGUCGCCUGUCGCCCCCUUCCGGCCACAACUCCACGGUCGCUCGCGUUCCGCACCGCCGUUGGAGGACACUGAACCUGCCAGGCUGCCACCGCCGGUCGGUCUGCUCUGCUUCCAAUUUUCCUCGCAACUCUCGCAAGCCGCAGCAGAAAUGGAACGUUUUUUUUCUAAAAAACGUAGAAGUCAAUCAAUAUGUGAUUAAGUUACGCCCGUUAUUGAAGCAAAUGUAGAAGUUGAAGCGAAUGUAGAAGAUGAAACAAAUUUUGAUGAAUACGUUCGUGAUCCGGGGUUAAGAAAGCCAAUUGAGGAGUUUCCUAUUGCUAUUCGCGAUCAAGCACGUAGAGAGUACUUAUCAAUGGGUCGUCUAUAUUGAGAAGGAAAUUUUCUCAACAAUUGACAACGAGAAGGUUUUGCAACGUUUUCAGUCAAUGAGUACACGUCGAAAUCAACUGUCAUUGCUUUCUCAAACAGAGACGACUAGCUCGAGUUCGCCAAGUAUUACUAUUUCAUAGAUUAUUUGUAAUAGACAUGGUAAUGAAUGAAACUAUUGUACGUUUUUAUUAUUAUGGUUGAACUAAUGACAAAAAAACAAUUAUUUAUUAA